UUGGAGGGCAAGUCUGGUGCCAGCAGCCGCGGUAAUUCCAGCUCCAAUAGCGUAUAUUAAAGUUGUUGCAGUUAAAAAGCUCGUAGUUGAAUUUCGGGGUUAGUAGGUUGGUCAUGCCUCUGGUAUGUACUGGUCUCACUGAUUCCUCCUUCCUGAUGAGCCGUAAUGCCAUUAAUUUGGUGUUGCGGGGAAUUUGGACUGUUACUUUGAAAAAAUUAGAGUGUUUAAAGCAAGCUAACGCUUGAGUACAUUAGCAUGGAAUAAUGAAAUAGGACGUUCGAUCCUAUUUUGUUGGUUUCUAGGAUUGACGUAAUGAUUAAUAGGGAUAGUUGGGGGCAUUAGUAUUCAAUUGUCAGAGGUGAAAUUCUUGGAUUUAUUGAAGACUAACUACUGCGAAAGCAUUUGCCAAGGAUGUUUUCAUUAAUCAAGAACGAAAGUUAGGGGAUCGAAGACGAUCAGAUACCGUCGUAGUCUUAACCAUAAACUAUGCCGACUAGGGAUCGGAUGAUGUUAAUUUUUUAAUGACUCAUUCGGCGCCUUACGGGAAAC
rnacentral:rRNA from 1 species